GGCUUAUCUACUUGAUUAUUUAAGAAUCUAUCUCUAUCUACAUUUCUAUAUCCCUUUAUCUCUAGGUCUAUUAUCUAUCCAUCUCUCUAUUAUUAGGGUAACUAAAAUGCAUGAUUAUUUUUCAGAUGAACAUGAAACCCAAAGAAAUUGUUGGCUAGUUGUAUUCCACUUCAGGCUAAACUCCUUGACCCUCAGGAGGUCUCCAUCUCUCUCUUUUAUCUUGAAGUCUACUCCAGGAACAACAACAACAAAAAGGAAGCUUGAUUCCUGAGGACUGAAUCAUGCUUAUGUCAUAGCUCAACAUCUAUU
rnacentral:lncRNA from 1 species